rnacentral:misc_RNA from 1 species
GAUGAAGAACGUAGCGAAAUGCGAUAAGUAGUGUGAAUUGCAGAAUUCAGUGAAUCAUCGAAUCUUUGAACGCACAUUGCGCCCCUUGGUAUCCCGAGGGGCAUGCCUGUUCGAGCGUCAUUUCACCACUCAAGCCUGGCUUGGUGUUGGGCGACGUCCUCUUUGGGGACGCGUCUCGAAACGCUCGGCGGCGUGGCACCGGCUUUAAGCGUAGCAGAAUCUUUCGCUUUGGAAGUCGGGGCCCCGUCUGCCGGAAGACCUGCUCGCAAGGUUGACCUCGGAUCAGGCAGGGAUACCCGCUGAACUUAAGCAUAUCAAUAAGCGGAGGA